rnacentral:misc_RNA from 1 species
CCACCCUGCAAGUAAACAGUGAGAGUGAAACAGAAUUAUCAACCAUAGAUAAAGAUCCUUUGUAUGAUGAGAUUCGUUAAGUUCAUUGAACACUAAAAGUCAUAGUGAUCUGUAUAGUAUCUCCCAUUUGUCAUAUAUACUUGAACAAGAAAACAUUUGUUUUAUCAUCAUUUUUUAUAUAAGAUCAAAGGACAUUACCUGUUUACAAACUUAAAGUUUAUGCAUUAGUUGUUCGCAUGUUGAUUUUGUGAUUUUUCAAGCUUUGAUAAGAAUAUUUUGUUUCAUUUAAAAGGAAAUGUUGUUGGCAAUUAUAGAUCAUGGAGGAGUUAGAUAUUACUUGUUAGAGUUAAUAAUCUCCACUUUUGAUUAUGUAGAGAGCCAUAUACAAAUAUUGUUGGAUAUAUUUAUAUUUUAUGUAUUAUAUGUUUAUUUAUUUACAAGCACAAAGUGCCAACUUUACAUAUUUGAUAUUUGAUAUACCCAAAAUAAAACUAUAUGCUGCACAUACAUGUAUAAACAUGGCUCAAAUAUUAAUACCAAUGUUUCAAUUUUUGUGUGUUUGAAAAUUGUUAAAACAAAUAGUGUAUUGCUUGUGGUGUUGUAAACUUGCAUGGUUAAAGUUUGAGAUUGAACCGCUUGUAUUAAUUUUUUGUAUAUACAUGUAUAUACACAUGUACAUUUAUCCAUCUCAGUGUAUUGUUUAUAACAACUAGGUUUGUUCUAAAUAUCAUUAGUAUAAAUGUUAGGCAAAUAAAGAAUGGCAUAUUUUUUGCAUUAAAAUAAAAGGUAAAUUAUUGUACAUUGACCUGGUAAAAGAGUUACAUGUAAUUCUCCCUAGGGUUAAUGAAUUGUUAGGGGGAAAAUUUCAUAAGUGUGUGCGUAUUUCAGUUAUACUGUAGAUUUCUUUAAGAAACUUAUUAUCUUGGAAGCAACAUUGUAUAUAAGUGUACAGAGGGUUGAUGUUCUUUGAGUCACUGACUACUGAAGUCAGCUGCAUCUUUGUCAUAUAGCUAGGUUGUACCAAAACUAGAUUUAAGGUUACUGAACAAACGAGAGCAUCAAAUUAUAAGGGCAUCUUAUCUUAGUAUAAGUGACAAUUAAGCAGGGUAUCAAACUCUCUAUAUUAUAUUUAUUUACAUGAUAUUUACAAGGUUUUUUUAUUGGAUCAUUAUGUUGAACAGUAUUAGUAGAUUUGGACUUGCUUUGAAUUUAUUCAUUCCUUUUCAUUUGUUGAAAAUGUUUAUGAAACAAUGUACAAUUUAGAUAUUGUGUUCACCUUAUGACCAUUCUUGUCAAUGAUUUCAGAAGUAAAAUCAGAAAUGAUUCCUCUGAUUUGAAAAAAUUGUCAUUGCGUAGUGCUUGUACAUAUGUAUUGUUGUGUUGUAAUCAUUCAAUUCAAUGGAGGCAUUUGUUCCUUUAUACCAAAGUAAAUAAUGGUAGGAAAGUAAUCAUAAUUUUUUUUCAUGAUAUGAACAUUUUUUUUGUUAGCAAAUAAAAAAUAUGGUUAAUAUUUUACGUUGUUCAUCCAAACCAAAAGAAAAAAACCCUUAUUUACUGCUACAUGUAUCUGUGUAUAUAUGCGUGUAAACAUCUAUGUCUCUUCUUACAUACUUGUAUGUCAAACAUUGUAUUUACAUACUUAUGUCAAACAUUGUUUUCCCUCAUUCAAAUAAACAAUUCAAUUUAUAG